AGGGCUAUAGCUCAGUUAGGUAGAGCACCUCGUUUACAACGUGGAGCCAUCUCGUUAUCUUUCUGUCAAGAAAAAG
rnacentral:tRNA from 1 species